rnacentral:rRNA from 1 species
UGAAAGGCGGGGGAUCGCAAGACCUCGCGCGACAAGAGUGGCCGAUAUCAGAUUAGGUUGUUGGUGGGGUAAAGGCCUACCAAGCCGACGAUCUGUAGCUGGUCUGAGAGGACGACCAGCCACACUGGGACUGAGACACCGGCCCAGACUCCUACGGGGAGGCAGCAGGUGGGGUAAUUUUGGACAAUGGGACGAAAGCCUGAUCCAGCAAUGCCGCGUGCAGGAUGAAGGCCGUUCGGGGUUAGUAAACUGUCUUUUGUACAGAACGAAACAGUCUCUCCUAAUACGGGGGGCGAAUGACGGUACUGUAAGAAUAAGCACCGGCUAACUACGUGCCAGCAGCCGCGGUAAUACGUAGGGUGCAAGCGUUAAUCGGAAUUACUGGGCGUAAAGCGUGCGCAGGCGGUUUUGUAAGACAGAUGUGAA